GUAGGGAAUAUUGCACAAUGGAGGAAACUCUGAUGCAGCGACGCCGCGUGAGUGAUGAAGGCCUUCGGGUCGUAAAGCUCUGUCGCAGGGGAAUAACACAAUGAAGGUACCCUGUAAGAAAGGAUCGGCUAACUUCGUGCCAGCAGCCGCGGUAAGACGAGGGAUCCUAGCGUUGUUCGGAAUCAUUGGGCGUAAAGCGGAUGUAGGUGGCUAUGUAAGUCAGAUGUGAAAGCCUGGGGCUCAACCCCAGAAGUGCAUUUGAUACUGCGUAGCUUGAGUGUCGGAGAGGUUACUAGAAUUGUUGGUGUAGUGGUGAAAUACGUAGAUAUCAACAGAAAUACCGGAGGCGAAGGCGGGUAACUGGCCGAACACUGACACUGAGAUCCGAAAGCGUGGGGAUCAAACAGGAUUAGAUACCCCGGUAGUUCC
rnacentral:rRNA from 1 species